rnacentral:tRNA from 1 species
CGGGAUGUAGCGCAGUCCGGUAGCGUACUUGCAUGGGGUGCAAGGGGUCGUGGGUUCAAAUCCCGCCAUCCCGA